GUGAGGACUGAGGAGUAACCGAACAGCAAUAUCUGUUAGGGUUUCGCAAAUCGUGGAUCGUGAAACUCGUGUCUGGCGAGUGGCUGCAGAUGAAGAAGAGGAAACGACUGUAUUUCAAGCGUUCCGCUUCCGAAGGUUAAAGGAACCGACUAUAAAACCCCUGCCCUGAUGGCACUUGUGUCCAGGACUAAUAAUAUUGAUGACAAAGCUCUCCAGAAUGCAGUUCCUAGCAAAGUUGGAAUCUACAAUGUGUACACUGGAAAAGGUAGAUCAGUAAAGGAGUUUUUGGAGGCAUGUAAGAAGCAACUGAAGUAGAUAGCAUGUUAACAUUCCUCAAUGGAUAAAUGUUGCAGGAAUGUCCCAAGAGAUGUAACAUCAUUGUACAAACUAGAGAACAAAACAUUCAA